rnacentral:rRNA from 1 species
UACGAAGGGGGCUAGCGUUGCUCGGAAUCACUGGGCGUAAAGCGCACGUAGGCGGACUCUUAAGUCGGGGGUGAAAUCCUGGAGCUCAACUCCAGAACUGCCCUCGAUACUGGGAGCCUUCGAGUUCGGGAGAGGUGAGUGGAACUGCGAGUGUAGAGGUGAAAUUCGUAGAUAUUCGCAAGAACACCAGUGGCGAAGGCGGCUCACUGGCCCGAUACUGACGCUGAGGCACGAAAGCGUGGGGAGCAAACAGG